GACGAACGCUGGCGGCGUGCUUAACACAUGCAAGUCGAACGGAAAGGCCCUGCUUUUGUGGGGUGCUCGAGUGGCGAACGGGUGAGUAACACGUGAGUAACCUGCCCUUGACUUUGGGAUAACUUCAGGAAACUGGGGCUAAUACCGGAUAGGAGCUCCUGCUGCAUGGUGGGGGUUGGAAAGUUUCGGCGGUUGGGGAUGGACUCGCGGCUUAUCCGCUUGUUGGUGGGGUAGUGGCUUACCAAGGCUUUGACGGGUAGCCGGCCUGAGAGGGUGACCGGCCACAUUGGGACUGCGAUACGGCCCAGACUCCUACGGGAGGCAGCAGUGGGGAAUAUUGCACAAUGGGCGGAAGCCUGAUGCAGCAACGCCGCGUGCGGGAUGACGGCCUUCGGGUUGUAAACCGCUUUCGCCUGUGACGAAGCGUGAGUGACGGUAAUGGGUAAAGAAGCACCGGCUAACUACGUG
rnacentral:rRNA from 1 species